rnacentral:rRNA from 1 species
GCUCAGGACGAACGCUGGCGGCGUGCUUAACACAUGCAAGUCGAGCGGUAAGGCCCUUCGGGGUACACGAGCGGCGAACGGGUGAGUAACACGUGGGUGAUCUGCCCUGCACUUCGGGAUAAGCCUGGGAAACUGGGUCUAAUACCGGAUACGACCUCCGGCUGCAUGGCUGGGGGUGGAAAGGUUUACUGGUGCAGGAUGGGCCCGCGGCCUAUCAGCUUGUUGGUGGGGUAAUGGCCUACCAAGGCGACGACGGGUAGCCGACCUGAGAGGGUGACCGGCCACACUGGGACUGAGACACGGCCCAGACUCCUACGGGAGGCAGCAGUGGGGAAUAUUGCACAAUGGGCGAAAGCCUGAUGCAGCGACGCCGCGUGAGGGAUGAAGGCCUUCGGGUUGUAAACCUCUUUCAGCAGGGACGAAGCGAGAGUGACGGUACCUGCAGAAGAAGCACCGGCUAACUACGUGCCAGCAGCCGCGGUAAUACGUAGGGUGCGAGCGUUGUCCGGAAUUACUGGGCGUAAAGAGUUCGUAGGCGGUUUGUCACGUCGUCUGUGAAAACCCACCGCUCAACGGUGGGCCUGCAGGCGAUACGGGCAGACUUGAGUACUGCAGGGGAGACUGGAAUUCCUGGUGUAGCGGUGAAAUGCGCAGAUAUCAGGAGGAACACCGGUGGCGAAGGCGGGUCUCUGGGCAGUAACUGACGCUGAGGAACGAAAGCGUGGGUAGCAAACAGGAUUAG